GUGAGUGGCAGCGAGGUCACUCAGCGACCCAGUGAGCACUGGAGCUCUGCGACCUGCAGCACUGUGGCCCCUGCUCAGGAACAGCAUGUCAAAAGAGCUGGCUGUGCACUUGGGAUGUAUCAUCUUGGCUAUGUUUUCACAGAAUCCAAAUAAUCCUUUCCACUGUUUACCUCCUUGAGGCUCACCUACUCUACUGUACAAUCUACUGAUAAUACACUGGUAACAGCAGCAAUGCAAAUUCCUGACUGCAAGUUUCCAAGUCCCAGAAACCAGAAAACAAAACCUCCUCUGAUGAUCUGAAUCAUUCCCUGCCAUUUUAAUGUAAGGCUGUGUGAUGCAGAGGUACCACAAGCCUCUACCUUAAACCACCGAAGACAUUUAAAAGCAAUUUCUCAGCAGUUUACAAUAUAUUAAAAGGUCACAGUGGGAGGGAAGAGGGACUAUACCAUCAGUUAUGUAGGAUUUUUAUCUGAUAAUCUCUAACAAACAUGGUUAAUACAAUUUUUGGUAAGUGAAAAUGAGCCACUCAUCCUACUCCUUAAUGUUUGCUAUGGUCUUGGUAAGGAAGCAAUAGCACUCUGGACCUUUAGCAUUUUAGACCUACACAUUUCAGUUUCAGUGCAAUGCAGCAGCUGAUGAAGGGGGUUCAGCUGAGGGGAGGGAGAUUGUGUAUGAGUGAUAGAGCUGUAAAAAAGGAAUGGCACACAGCAGAGCUCAUCAUGUGCUGUGGUUCUUUAGAAUUUGUAAAGAUCUGAGCACCAGAUGAAAGAUCCUUUAGUCUACACAGUCAUUGUACCAGGAGAGCUCCCCAUUCCUUUGAUGAUCUGGAUCCAUUGCAGACUGCCAGCAUCCUUCCUGCUUUUGAAGCUACCCCCAGACUGGCUGGAUACCUCAUGCUGUUUCACCUCCCUGUUGGCAGAAAUGCGUGGCUGUGCAUGACCUGCGGCCGAGCGCAGCCAGCCACCCCCUCCAUCAGCCCUAUUACAGCUGCCUUUGAUGGGCAACUGCCAGCGGGGCUGUGGGAUACAAACUGUGUGCCCAGAAAAGGAUUCAGACACAAACUGAGCAGGUGGAUCCAAAAGUGAGUGGCUUUUCAAAGGGCACCCCACUGCAAACAGUGCCUGGUAGAACUUUAAAGGCUUUUAUUCCAUUUGCUGAUAACCUCUAACACAUUAUAUGCCUUUUGUUGAGCUUAGACACCCUUGCUGUCAGCUCCAGGAAUGAGUGCUGGGCUGACAGCUGAAUCUCUCUCUCCUUUUAAUGGCUCUGCUUGUGCAAUUCUUUCUUUUUAACAAGUCUGUCAUAGCCUGGAGGAGGGUGUGAGUGCGCGUGCAUGUGUCAGGGGAGGAAGAGCCACAGUAGAGUCUAAUAAACUUCAAAGAACAGUUUUAGGACUUUUACUAUCUGAGAGAUAUUGGCUUUCAGAAUGCUUUCUGGUAGGUGGGUUGCAGUCAGUUGCUUUUGGGUGGCUAAAGUAUAUGACUUUUAUAAUAAAUCCAGUAGUGGCAGUGAUGAAGGUUUUAUGCUUUCAGAGGUACCAUGAGGAUUGGGGGGGGAAUACUGUACAACCAUUAAUCACCGGCUUCAAAAAAUCUCUCUUUGAAUGUUACCAAAUUACAAAAUGCUGAGCAGCUUAAGAGACUUAAAAGCUCAUGGGUUACCAUUUAAGAUAAAAGGAAUUGACAAUGAUGAUUCACAGUCCUUCUUUAUCUGUAGAUGUCUUCAGUUACUUCAGAUAAGCAGGUAAAUUUAGUGAUUCACAGAAAAGGAAACAAAAAGGGAACAUACUAAGCAGUUAUGUCAGAAGAUGCUAUAUAAUAAAGCCAUAAGCAGUGAAGCACUCCAUUCCAUGUGAAAAAACUGGCACUCUGUUUACAAAGUAAGACUGUUCUGCAGCUGCAUUGCCUUGGAAGCUUACCCUUGAAAUUCAGCUUGUCCCAACAGGGCCCUGGGUCUAGGCUGAAAAUGACUUGUCGAUGGCUGGGCUUCAGUUACAGAGUUUGCUGCAGGCUCAGCUUCUACCUCAGAACCCUGGGGAAACUUAUCUGUAAAAGUCUGCCUCUGAAUUCAGGAGAACUGGCAUAAUACUAAACUAAGACUACUGGAAAGUGUUAUGGUCACAGAACCUGUAGACAGCACAGAUUCUGAGCCAGGUGGGUGCUAGGAAGAAGGACAGGGGAAAGCAGCUUUCCCAACAGAAUUACUUUAAUGUGACUGAAGUAAUGUUUUUCUCCCCAGUCUUGUUCUCCAGGUAGAUAAGCCAUUUUACAAAAUUUGGUCCAAGAAAGAAAAUUUAGCCCAAGUAAGAAAAAAAAAAUACAGUAUGGAAAACCAGUAUACACUGGCUGAACAUUUAGUAUUAUAUGCAAUUUAUAAUGAGUUUAUAACUAUGAUUUAUAUUUCAAGCAACCUUUAUAAUAAACUGCAUAAUCAGUACUUUCUACAAGCACUGUAGCUAUCUAUUUGCUGGUAUCAGCAAACAGAUAGCUAUUUAUUAUGCAGGAGAUAUAUAAAGUAUGUGGCAUGUACCACAGUAAAAACAAUACAUAUGGUGCUUUAUUCUGAACUACAUAUACCGGGUUUGUUUCUGUGUGGAAAAAGGGACAGUAUGGCAGUAGCUGGGUGAAGAAGCCCUUAGUCAUUCUUUUCACUGAAUGCUGGUGACCUAUCACCCAGGCAAGGAGAAGGGGAAACAGGGAUCUCUGUCAAAUGACAGCCACAUGAGAGAGGACACAUGCAGGGCUGCUUUCCAUUCCCCACAUUGCUGGCUUACUAGAAUAUGUGACUGCCUCUGUCCAGCAGAGGAGUUCUCUGACCUAGAAGAAACAUCUCCAGCAGGCCCACUCCACUGUAACUCACUGCAGCACUUUUUCAAGGCCAAUGGAUUAGCAAGAAUGAAAACUGAGACUACUGGCUCCCAGACAAACAGCACGGGACAGAAACCAUGCCUGUAUCUCAUGGAGGGUUUCCUCUCUGCUUUCAGUGAGUCAUGAAAGAUUCAUUUCUGAGGGCUAGUCCCAGUUCAGUUCUCAUCAAUAAUGCUUCUCAGUGAGGGAAUUACUGCAUCACAAGAAAGCAAAUCUGACUGAGGUGCCUGAAGGGAAGGGACAAAAGGACCAGAAUCACAACCUGAGAGACUCAGCAACUUCCUUGAAGUCACACCAGACAGACCUUUCUGAACCUGAGGAAUGAGAACUGUCCACAGUGGUGGAGGUGAGUACUCACCAAGGCUUUGCACAACACUUGCCUUUUCUAUGGAAAUAUCUUGCCUGACACAGAAGAAUGCAUUUGCCUGUGUCACACUGGUGGCUCACAGUCACCUUGUGAUCUACUCACGCCUCCAGGAACAUUUACCUACUCAAAAUUGUAGCAGAAAAUUGUAGAACUUCCCCUGAUACUGUGCUACCUAUUCCUAGAGUAACGUUUUUCACAUGUGGUUUAUUGAGGUGGGGGCCCUCUUCUGUCAGAGCCUCAGCUGGGUAUGUGGCCUGUAGUAACAUACCAUGAGACACAGAUUUUUCUGCUUCAUGGAUGCUGUGAAUGCAGAGAAUGCCAGUGUGAUGAAAUUAUGAUACUUUUAAUAAAAGAAACCAUAAAACAACUUUCCAGCACACACUUGGUAAUUGGCUUGCAAAACUGGUGAAGUCCAGAGAGCUGCCAGGCUAUUUCUAUUCAGUUAAAGAGACAUUUUGAUGCAAGCCCAGUGUGACAAGACAGGCCCUUGCAUGUGUCCAACUGUGCAUCUGAUGGAUCAGCAGAGUGAGGCUAGAGAUUAAUACCCUUGCCAGGAGUGUCCUCUGUCCAGAUGAUUUACAAGGAAAAGACAGUCUUCAAAGAGCAAAGAUUUCAAAUGACAUUUGAAUCCUAUUCAAAGGAGAUUUAUGAGCUAAAACCUAUGCUUUGAGUUAUAUUUGAAAACAAACUGUUAGCCAGUGCAUUUUCAGACCACGCUUUCCUCUCUGCAAAGGGCUGCACAAAGCAAAUGAAUGCUGACAUAGCACACACUGAACUGACUCACUACAGCUGUACUAACUGCAUUCCCAUAGUCUGAGGGAACACUGGACAGGAAUGCGAUUCUAUACAUUGCAGCCCACAAUUUAAGAAGGAUGCGAAGAUCUUCUAAGGUGCCAGAAGAAGGUAGAAAAGGUGGUGAUGCAACUGAAAGGCAGGUACUGUGGGAAGUGGCCAUGGCACCGGGUUCAUCUAGCUUGGACAGAAGGUGGCCCAGGGGUGACCUCAUUGCUCACUACAGCUUCCUGAGGAGGGGAGGUGGAGAGGGAGAUGCUGAGUUCUCCCUGGGAUCCAGGAUGCAUAUGAAUGGCUCAAAGCUGUGUCCCUUAGGGAAGUUCAGACCAGACAUGAAUAAUCAGUUCUUCAGCAAGAGGGUGGACAAACCCUGGAACAGGCUUCCUACAGAGGUGGUCAAUGCCCCAUGCCUUUGUGUGUAGUUUCCCAGGACUUCCCUCACAGCCCUCUUGUAAACUGGAAUAACACUGUUAAACCUUCUGUCAUCAGGAACCUCCCCACACUCCCAAGACCAUUGACAGGUGAUGAGAAGGGUCCUGCUCUAACAUUUGCUACCUCUUUGGCACUCUUAGACAAUUACAAACCAAGUUUGGUUUGUAUCUCAGCUCUGUGGCUUGCCUCAUGUCUACAGAACAUUUCUAACCAGGAAAACUGCACAAGAUAAACCUCCAGUUUUCCACAUAACCUGUUUUGCACUUGUACUAAGGACAAGCUAUUAAUUUCUAGAGAUCUGAAUUUAGAUCUAGAGAUGUUCAGAAAACCUCUUACAUAAUGAUACUGCAGGACUUAGCAAGUGUUUGUAGCAGUACUGAUACGGGCAGAGGACGAGGCAAAUUCUGAAGUCCUUAUUAGUAUCACUUUUACUCAAAUGUAACUACUGCCGAAGUCAGCAGAAGGGUACCCAGGGAUACUGGGCAAGGCCUGUUCUCUACUUACUGAUUUCUGACUCCUAUUUCACCAUUUAUUUAUUUUUACUGAAUUUUGCUUCCUCCCUUUAUUAGCUUGAAACAGCUGACAAGCCACCACCUGAAGCACUUAGAAAAACAAUGACAAUAUCAAGCAGCAAUUUGUGGUCUAUGAUACAGGACCACUUAACUCUGCUCAAAAGAGCAUGAUAUUGAUUAAAAAUAAAAUAAAAUAGAACAAUCAGGAAAUAAAGAAUAUAUAAUAGGUACAGUGUUCCAGCUACGUGCUGCUUCCUUUCUGCUCAGUGGUAAUUUGUUAUACUAACUGUACAUUCCAAGGUGGGGUGAUGGAGACUGUGCCACUGAAGACAUGAAGGAAACAGUUUACCUCUGGAAGGCAGAUGACCACCUGUGCUGUAUGACACACACCACAGUACAACUUGGUGAAAUACUGGAACACAUUCAAAAGUUUCAUAAAUAGGAAGGAGCAGGUAUUCAAGUCAGUGGUUGCAUGAGAUUUGGGAUCUAAUAUGUAUUUAACUUAAACAGCAGUGUCAUCUUAUUAGCAGAGCACAGAGGGUUGUCAAACUGUCUCUUAAGAAAUGUUAACCAGACGUUUACUGUUAAGUUACUGCUAGAAAAUGUUGGAACUGCAUAUGUUGGUUCAAAAUGCUCAUCCUAGCAGGGAAAAGCACUUAUGUCCCCAGCAUACAUUUUUUCCUGGAAUGCAUGUACACACAUCACUGAUUUCUGUCUUUCUGAAUCUGCAGAUCCUUAACAAAUUUUCAAGGAAGAUGUGGAACUCUACAUAGCAGACUUCAACCUGCCAAUGAGAGGUUUGCUUCUUUUAGGUACUUUUUGCAGACCUCAGAGAGCAUAAAAAAACCCCACUAUGAGAGAGGCACUGUUAUCUGUAUGUGAAGAGACCCCAGUAUGACAGCUGAAGGGAAAUCAGUUUACUCACAUCCAGCUGGACUCUGCUUUACUGAAACCAAUGCUUGCCUUACCACCAACACCAGUAUGACAGCUGAAUUGAGGCCAAAGGGCUUUUGAAGUCACCACUGGCAUGGUAAAGCCAGAAUACUUCAAUUAAAAAAAAAAAUCUGAAAAGAUCAAUAUAGAAAGACUGAGACCACAGAAAUUAAACCCUCUUAAGAUUAACUUAAAAGAAUAGAACACAAUUGGAACAUGCACUGUGAAGUCACUACAGACAAUACACUGUGUAGUGUGUUUACACAAGUAGUCAGGGAACAAAGCAAUUGGUGCAAGUUUUGUGAUGUAUCAUCACUCAGUAUGAGGUUUCAAGUGAACACCGCCCUGGGUCAUUCCAGCACUGUCCAGGAUGACUGAACUGUGGGUAAGUCCUGAGGAAAAUCCUGGCCUCAGAAAAGUCAAAGGGAGUUUCCCUACUGACUUUAAUGAGAUCAAGAUUUUACCUAACAGGAUUAUAAAGACUAUGGCUUCUCUGACAGAGAUACAAAAUUAGUGAACACAUAGGGCAGUGCCUCUGAAUUUCAGUCAGGCAUUUGAUACUGUGCCUCAUGAAAGCCUGCUAUAAAUAUCGACUCAUACUGCCUAAGACAGGAACACUGCUGCACUGAUUGAAAGCUGCUGGCAAAUGGCAAAGGAUUGAGCUGGGGAGAAGUGUCUAUGACAACAGUUCUCAAAACUUUCUUCUUGUAUCCUAGAGGAAAGCACAGUCUGUGCCUCCACAUUAUCAGGAAGACGGCCAAAGGACACUUCCCACCCACAAAAGUAAGGGGUGCUUACCCAUGAGGUGGAGAUGCCCUUUGCAAGGCUGAGCCAUACCCAGUGGGUGCUUGCACUCAUUUCUGUGCCUGACCUGAGGCAGGUUCAGCAGCAUCACUCUCUCCUGUCCUGGGAUCCUCCCUGGCCCCUGUUCUCAGACAUCAGCCCUGGUAGACAUGCCACAACUGAAUUUACUCUGGUGUGUGUUCCAGGGAUGAACUGGGAGUAGUUUACAUGGCUUUCUCUGACUGAAUCCUGCCUCCAUUCUGCCUCCAAGGCCCAGAAAAGUUCUGCUACUGACUCCAAGGAGGAGCAACAAUUUCUGGCUCCUGCUGUUUCCCUCUGCUUCUGCUUUGCAAUUCUGCUUGCCUCCUUCUCUGGCUCACAUCUUAUGGGCUACUGUAUCUCCAAGUGUGCUCCUGCCUCAGUCUUCUUCCGGCCACACUCCCUGCUCCCCUCAGGGUUGCUCUUCUAUAAUGAACAGAGGAAUAGCAUGAAAAGACAAAUUCAGGAUAAAAACUUGGCAAACCUUGCAGGCAAAGAUAACUUAGCUUGUAAACAGACUUUCAGGGUGAUGGAAUAACCCUAAAGUCUAAAAUUAAACUAAUAAAUAGGAACGAUGCAACCUGUAAUGUAAAGGCUCUGAUCCUCCAUCAUGAAUGCUGACUAAUGGUUUUCUUUAGACUUGAGCAAGCAAGCACAAUUGAUGCACAUAACGCUGCAAAACAGCAAAACAUUCCAAUGGGUGAUCCUCCUCAGGAUCUUCCUGGUUCUGGGAGGCAUUCUGGGACACUCAGAAGACUUAAAUAUUCCUUCUUUCCCCAUUCCCAACCUGAUGAGUGAUUUAAGACAAGUCAUGCUGUACCUUUGUGCCCUGUUUGUCUUCCCUACCCUUUGUGUUCCAUGGAGAAACUGAUCUUCUUUGUAAAUACAAAAUGCAGUAGUAAAAAACCUUGUGUCAUCUUCUUCAGGCAGAAGAAAAUAAGGUAGAUUACAAAAGAAAGUAUUUAAAAAGAUGGAAACAUGGAUUUGAAAGGUUGUUACACAAGAGACAUCCUUGAUCUGCAGGGGAGUGCUGGCCACAGAGAGUACUACAUUAACCACAGCUGCUUUGUACAUCCCCUUUCAGCCUCAGAGCUGAACCCAUUACGUGGCUCCUGGGAACACACAUUCCCUAAGAUCCAGAGUUGGGUUACUGUUAUGUAUUGCACUGCAGCUGACUGUGGAAUGAAUAGUCAUGCUGAGGAAAGCAAACAAGGUCCUGGAGAUCACUUUCAGCUAUGAGAAAGCUUCUUUAUUUUUAUACCUCCUAUUUAACUGCUAACCCUUUUGUUUGAAAGGCCCAACAGCAGAGAACAUACUGCAGGCACAGCACAGACACACCAAAGCAGUCAGAACAGGUAGCAGCAGGACAUGUUUUCCAGAUUACCAUUAAAAGGAGCCUAGACCAGCUCCUGCAUUUCAGCCAGGAACAGCUUCAAAAGGCCAUUUUGGCACAGAACGUGAAGUAAUUUGGAAGCAGGGUAGAGGUGGGUGUCUAGUUGCAUCAGAGACAUUCAGAGACUGAACAGACUCUGGAGGCUCUGGAAAACUGAAGGUUUUUAAACACCCCAAGUUUGUUAGCAUGCUUUUAGGAGUGGAAAUUAUUGCUGUGCAGAGAUGAAAAACAUAAGCCAUAUUAAGCCAUGUUCAGAUAAAGGAGCUACAAUCAGAGAAGGCAACUGAACAGGUCAGGGCUGUAAAUGUGCUCAAGCAGGUGGUGCUGUCAGGACAAUGAGACCUGAAGUAACAAUAACCUUAGCCACAAAAGCAGAGAUACUAGGAAGGCAGCUGAACAGAUGUGGAAGGUGGAUGAGACUGGCCUAAGAAUCCUGGACGAAAAUCUGGUCUUGAUAUCUGACUUUGACAUUGACCUUCUCUGCCUUCUGGGGAAUUCAUCUUGGUUGAGUUCCCUC